rnacentral:lncRNA from 1 species
UGCUGUUGAUGUUUUGGUCCUGAAUUCGAGUUUUCUUUGGUUGUUAUGGACCAAUUCGUGGAGAGAGCUGGAAUUUCGAUCAGUGAAAGUUGUGCCACAUUUUCCCUACUGAUUUGAAGGGUGUUCAUCAUCUGAUUUGAGAAUUUGGGGAUUGAUAGGUGAGUUUUGACAGUGAAGUUGUCGGUUUAAGCUUAAGUGCUGAAAUUUGAAGUUAUUGAUGCAAUUUUAAUGCUUUUCUGU